UACAGAGGUGGCAAGCGUUGUUCGGAAUUACUGGGCGUAAAGGGCGCGUAGGCGGUUCGGUAAGUCCUGUGUGAAAUCCCUCGGCUCAACUGAGGAACUGCACGGGAGACUGCCGGGCUUGAGUUCGGGAGAGGGAAGCGGAAUUCCGGGUGUAGCGGUGAAAUGCGUAGAUAUCCGGAGGAACACCGGCGGCGAAGGCGGCUUCCUGGACCGACACUGACGCUGAGGCGCGAAAGCUAGGGGAGCAAACGGG
rnacentral:rRNA from 1 species